GACGAACGCUGGCGGCGUGCUUAACACAUGCAAGUCGAACGGAAAGGCCCUGCUUUUGUGGGGUGCUCGAGUGGCGAACGGGUGAGUAACACGUGAGUAACCUGCCCUUGACUUUGGGAUAACUUCAGGAAACUGGGGCUAAUACCGGAUAGGAGCUCCUGCUGCAUGGUGGGGGUUGGAAAGUUGCGGCGGUUGGGGAGGGGCGCGCGGCGUGGCCGCUGGUGGGGGGGGUAGGGGCUUACCCAGGCGGUGACGGGCCGCCGGCCGGGGAGGGUGACCGGGCACAUGGGGACUGAGGUACGGCCCAGACGGCUACGGGAGGCAGCAGUGGGGAAUAUUGCACAAUGGGCGGAAGCCUGAUGCAGCAACGCCGCGUGCGGGAUGACGGCCUUCUGGUUGUAAACCGCUUUCGCCUGUGACGAAGCGUGAGUGACGGUAAUGGGUAAAGAAGCACCGGCUAACUACGUG
rnacentral:rRNA from 1 species